rnacentral:rRNA from 1 species
AUUGAACGCUGGCGGCAGGCCUAACACAUGCAAGUCGGACGGUAGCACAGGGGAGCUUGCUCCCUGGGUGACGAGUGGCGGACGGGUGAGUAAUGUCUGGGAAACUGCCCGGUGGAGGGGGAUAACUACUGGAAACGGUAGCUAAUACCGCAUAACGUCUUCGGACCAAAGUGGGGGAUCUUCGGACCUCACGCCACCGGAUGUGCUCAGAUGGGAUUAGCUAGUAGGUGGGGUAACGGCUCACCUAGGCGACGAUCCCUAGCUGGUCUGAGAGGAUGACCAGCCACACUGGAACUGAGACACGGUCCAGACUCCUACGGGAGGCAGCAGUGGGGAAUAUUGCACAAUGGGCGCAAGCCUGAUGCAGCCAUGCCGCGUGUAUGAAGAAGGCCUUCGGGUUGUAAAGUACUUUCAGCGGGGAGGAAGGCGGUGAGGUUAAUAACCUCGCCGAUUGACGUUACCCGCAGAAGAAGCACCGGCUAACUCCGUGCCAGCCGCCGCGGUAAAAC